rnacentral:rRNA from 1 species
UACGUAGGGUGCGAGCGUUGUCCGGAAUUACUGGGCGUAAAGAGCUCGUAGGCGGUUUGUCGCGUCGGCUGUGAAAACUCGGGGCUCAACCCCGAGCCUGCAGUCGAUACGGGCAGACUAGAGUGCUGUAGGGGAGACUGGAAUUCCUGGUGUAGCGGUGAAAUGCGCAGAUAUCAGGAGGAACACCGGUGGCGAAGGCGGGUCUCUGGGCAGUAACUGACGCUGAGGAGCGAAAGCGUGGGGAGCGAACAGG